rnacentral:rRNA from 1 species
GUGCAGCAGUCGCGAAACCUCCGCAAUGCGGGAAACCGCGACGGGGGGACCCCGAGUGCCGUGGCAACGCCACGGCUUUUUCCCGGAGUAGUAAAAAAGGCUCCGGGAAUAAGGGGCUGGGCAAGGCCGGUGGCAGCCGCCGCGGUAAUACCGGCGGCCCGAGUGGUGGCCGCUAUUAUUGGGCCUAAAGCGUCCGUAGCC